AACGAACGCUGGCGGCAUGCCUAACACAUGCAAGUCGAACGAGACCUUCGGGUCUAGUGGCGCACGGGUGCGUAACGCGUGGGAACCUGCCCUUAGGUUCGGAAUAACUCCCCGAAAGGGGUGCUAAUACCGGAUAAUGUCUUCGGACCAAAGAUUUAUCGCCUUUGGAUGGGCCCGCGUUGGAUUAGCUAGUUGGUAGGGUAAAAGCCUACCAAGGCGACGAUCCAUAGCUGGUCUGAGAGGAUGAUCAGCCACACUGGGACUGAGACACGGCCCAGACUCCUACGGGAGGCAGCAGUGGGGAAUAUUGGACAAUGGGCGAAAGCCUGAUCCAGCAAUGCCGCGUGAGUGAUGAGGGCCUUAGGGUUGUAAAGCUCUUUUACCCGGGAUGAUAAUGACAGUACCGGGAGAAUAAGCGCCGGCUAACUCCGUG
rnacentral:rRNA from 1 species